AUUGAACGCUGGCGGCAGGCCUAACACAUGCCAGUCGAGCGGCAGCACAGUAAUUGCUUGUUGUUACGGCGGCCGAGGGGUGGAUGGUGCCUGGGAAUAUGCGUGUUUACGGGGUAUAAGGUGCGGACACAGGCGCUCAUACGGCAUUAGUGCUGAGGGCGUACGGGGGGAAUCUUCGGACCUUCGGACCUCACAUGAGCCUAGGAGGGGAUGUCGGAUUAGCUAGUUGGCGGGGUAAAGGCCCACCAAGGCGACGAUCCGUAGCUGGUCUGAGAGGAUGAUCAGCCACACUGGAACUGAGACACGGUCCAGACUCCUACGGGAGGCAGCAGUGGGGAAUAUUGGACAAUGGGCGAAAGCCUGAUCCAGCCAUGCCGCGUGUGUGAAGAAGGCCUUCGGAUUGUAAAGCACUUUUGUUGGGGAAGAAAAGCAGUAGGUUAAUACCUCGCUGUUUUGACGGUACCAACAGAAUAAGCACCGGCUAACUUCGUG
rnacentral:rRNA from 1 species